CGCGCGCACAGUCGGUUCUUACGGGCCUAAGUGGAUAACCGCCUGCUUUUUAUCUGUAGGCUUGAUUCUUUUACUGUGUGCAUAAUAUGCAUAAAUAACGUGUGUAUUUACAGCAUAUAAUGUUUAUUGAUGCUAUAGAGAAAGAGAAAGAAAUAAAGCGAGCGCACUUUUGGAUUAUGUGAGAGUGGAAACCCUCUCUGGGCCAUGAAUCACGCAGAGGCCCUGGCGUGAGACGCCCGCCACCCACCACUCCUCGGCGGCUCCCAGGCCUCCUUUUUCGAAUACGGAUCAAAUCUGUUAAUGCCUGACAUUGGCUGUAAACCAGCUGUCCAUCAGCGGCCACGGGGCAGAUUUGUUAUGACUGAAGGGAUUCUGGGAUCGUCUCUGGGAAAAGCACUGAAAAAGCGAGCAAACGCUUACAGAGCAGUUCAUUUAUCACGAGUCCUUUGCCAUUUUAUAUGUUUCUCGAAACGCACCACAGAGGAUGGCCAACACCCAUUUCUAUCUUUAGAUGGGGGAAUCCACCCAAAAGCUGUCAAUCAUGUGGCCACAUCUCUCAAAAGAAAAGGACCCCCUGAGCUGAAUUCUACAGUGCUGAAACACAGCCAUCCACUGGUGUUCAACAGCCGCCUUGAGCCUCUGACAGUUGACCAGAGCAUAUGCAGGGACUUAAAAAGAUUACAAAACACCCAUUCUAAAACUUUUGGAAUGUAUACUAUACUGCUUAUGAUAUUUUUUUAAUUAAAUGUGAAUAUUUUGUGAGUGAAACAAGUGUUUAGUGUUAUGUCUGAGACAAUAACAGGUCACUAUUUCUACUUUUCAACUAGAUUUUGUUCACCUAACACUGAAACAUGCUUUCAAAAAGGUCUGUUUUUACCAAUUUUUACUUUAAACAAAAAUUAAAACCCCAAAUGGUACUAAAGCAGUUUAGCAUCUUAACUGAAUCAGUUUUUGUCAUUAAAAUACAGUGUGUGCAUUUAUCAUUUUUGGCUUGCAUGGAAUUAUUAAUUCAAUGAAAUAUCAUUUUCAUGAUGUGUAA